UACGUAGGGUGCAAGCGUUAAUCGGAAUUACUGGGCGUAAAGCGUGCGCAGGCGGUUGUGCAAGACCGAUGUGAAAUCCCCGGGCUUAACCUGGGAACUGCAUUUGUGACUGCACAGCUGGAGUGCGGCAGAGGGGGAUGGAAUUCCGCGUGUAGCAGUGAAAUGCGUAGAUAUGCGGAGGAACACCGAUGGCGAAGGCAAUCCCCUGGGCCUGCACUGACGCUCAUGCACGAAAGCGUGGGGAGCAAACAGG
rnacentral:rRNA from 1 species